rnacentral:rRNA from 1 species
AGAGUUUGAUCCUGGCUCAGGACGAACGCUGACGGUGUGCUUUAGGCAUGCAAGUCGAACGAGAAACCCUUCGGGGUGAGUAAAGUGGCGAACGGGUGAGUAACACGUGGGCAACCUGCCCCUCGCAGGGGGACAACCGGAGGAAACUCCGGCUAAUACCCCGUACGCUUGUUGGAUCGCAUGGUCCGGCAAGGAAAGGUAGCUUCGGCCAUCCGGCGAGGGAUGGGCCCGCGUUGCAUUAGCUAGUUGGUGGGGUAACAGCCUACCAAGGCGACGAUGCGUAGCUGGUCUGAGAGGAUGAUCAGCCACACUGGGACUGAGACACGGCCCAGACUCCUACGGGAGGCAGCAGCCAGGAAUCUUGGGCAAUGGGCGAAAGCCUGACCCAGCAACACCGUGUGGGCGAUGAAGGCCUUAGGGUCGUAAAGCCCUGUUGAUAGGGACGAAGGGCGAAGGGUUAAUAGCCCCUAGCUUGACGGUACCUUUCGAGGAAGCCCCGGCUAACUACGUGCCAGCAGCCGCGGUAAUACGUAGGGGGCGAGCGUUGUCCGGAAUUAUUGGGCGUAAAGAGCGUGUAGGCGGUUCGGUAAGUCUGCUGUGAAAUCCUGGGGCUCAACCCUGGGCGUGCAGCGGAUACUGCCGGGCUAGAGGGUGGUAGAGGCGAGUGGAAUUCCGAGUGUAGCGGUGAAAUGCGCAGAUAUUCGGAGGAACACCAGUAGCGAAGGCGGCUCGCUGGGCCACACCUGACGCUGAGNNNCGAAAGCGUGGGGAGCGAACAGGAUUAGAUACCCUAGUAGUCC